UUUUGGUAAGUACAACAUGUCCAAUCGUGAGGGAAUGUUUAUACUUCUGCAGGAGUCUGUUAAAGGUGUGUGGCACUCCCAGGCAAGCACUAAUUGCAUUUUUUUUUUUUUUUUGUGUUCCAGUAGUGAAAACCUUGGAUAUAAAAGAUGAGCCCCUUCCACAAAAACAUAUCUGUGGGCCCUAUUUUCUGAAGCCUGAGAAUUGCUGGUUUUCCCAAGUGAAACCUUUCAGCAGUUUCUCCUUUCCCAAGCAGCUUUGUGUAAAUAACUUUUCUUCCCAUAACAUUUAUGGGUAAACAAUAUCCCUUUCCCAUAACAACCUCUCUCCCAGGUGUUGUUUGUGUUACUUUGUUGGCCGGGAAAUCAGCCAGAGUCAAGACAGCACUCAAUAUGAGUUAAAAAUCUUGCUUGUUUAUUCAGCUAUUUGACGUACAUUUAUACUGUGUGUCGUGGUUUGAAGGGAAGUGAGUUUUUUUGGAAGUAGUGGUCAAACCAAUCAGUCCUUAGGUCUGAGUAUUGGCACCUUUGUUGGCCACUAAGAGGUUGGACACGCCUCUGAGGACACGAGGGGUUAAAAGCCGGAUUUCCCAGCAGGACUCUCUUUUUCCCUGCUCUGCUUUCGGAGAGGGAGCGUCUUCUCCUCUCCCCUGCCCAGGCCUGGCUAGGCCGGGUGGGGGAGGGGAGCAAGGUGGGCCUGGCUGAGCAAGGCAGAAGAGAGUUAUCCCUGGAUGCUGAAUUCUCAUAGUUGGUGGUUUUAGAAGAGAGAGGACAGCCUGGGACCGAGAGGGUAAUGUGAGAUGAAAAGAAGCCCCUUCGAUUGCCGGAAUGAAGAGGAGUGGCUUAUGAGGCUGGACUUUUCUUGCAUAAUGAUAGCCAUAGACGGACCCUGGACCCUCCUGACUAUAAAUAAGACUGUGUUUGGGUGGAUGUUUUUGGCUCAAACCCAGAGACGUUCUGGCCUGCUUCUUGGAGCCCCCGGCCCCAGGGGUAAAUGGGGGGGACCUGAGUCCCAAAAUGAGAAGAUGGCUGGUUUUUGGUACUUGGCCAAAACAUCCUUAAAAAGAGCCCUGUUGCAGUUCAGGUCCAUGGACGGCAGUGAGAGUGCUGGACAUGGAAAGGAGGGUGUCACCCUGGCAGACUCUUCUAGGCAGUGCCAUGGGUGACGUGGGAACACGGGAUGGUGGACCUGUGUUUCCUGUGGGGGGGGGGGAGGGUCUGUGGUGCGAGAGAGACUCCUCUCGUCCUGGAUGGAAUGUGGAUUGUCUGAAUUUUAAAGGAUGAUGAUUUGGAUUAGGAACCCAGGGUUGUUGAGGGAUUAAGCAAGUAGAUGAAGGUAAUGUGCUGGAGUCAACUGAGUGAGCAUGUAUGGAAUGGAAAUUGGGGGGAGGAGAAGCAGUGUUUUUGGGAGAUUUUCUCUUCUGCUUUUGGGUGGCUGGGUUUUUCUUUCCUUUUCUAUUGUCCAUUGUUAUGUAGCAUAAUAAAUUGUCUGUCUGUUUCAAGUA